CCUACGGGUGGCAGCAGUGGGGAAUAUUGCGCAAUGGGCGAAAGCCUGACGCAGCGACGCCGCGUGAGGGAUGAAGGUCUUCGGAUCGUAAACCUCUGUCAGCAGGGAAGAACGGUCACUGAGCUAAUCAGCAGUGAAUUGACGGUACCUGCAAAGGAAGCACCGGCUAACUCCGUGCCAGCAGCCGCGGUAAUACGGAGGGUGCGAGCGUUAAUCGGAAUUACGGGGCGUAAAGCGCGCGUAGGCGGUAUGUCAAGUCAAGGGUGAAAUCCCCGCGCUCAACGUUGGAACUGCCUUUGAAACUGGCAACCUGGUGUGUGUGAGAGGAUAGUGGAAUUCCCGGUGU
rnacentral:rRNA from 1 species